rnacentral:rRNA from 1 species
UACGGAAGGGGCGAGCGUUGUUCGGAAUCAUUGGGCGUAAAGGGCGCGUAGGUGGUUCUGUAUGUCUACCGUGAAAGCGUACGGCUCAACCGUAUUUUGUCGGUAGAAACUGCAGGACUUGAGGCUGGGAGGGGCUGGUGGAAUUCCCUGUGUAGCGGUGAAAUGCGUAGAGAUGUGGAGGAACACCGAUGGCGAAGGCAGCCCCCUGGGUCAAGAUUGACGCUCAUGCACGAAAGCGUGGGGGAGCAAACAGG